CAGCCGCCGCGGUAAUACCGGCGGCCCGAGUGGCGGCCACUAUUAUUGGGCUUAAAGCGUCCGUAGCCGGGUUGGUUAGUCUCCUGGGAAAUCUGGCCGCUUAACGGUCAGAAUUCCGGGAGAUACUGCCAGCCUAGGGACCGGGAGAGGCCGAGGGUAUUCCCGGAGUAGGGGUGAAAUCCUAUAAUCCCGGGAGGACCACCUGUGGCGAAGGCGCUCGGCUGGAACGGGUCCGACGGUGAGGGACGAAGGCCAGGGGAGCAAACCGGAUUAGAUACCCGGGUAGUCCUGGCUGUAAACGAUGCGGACUUUGUGUCGGACAAGCUAUGAGCUUGUCCGGUGCCGGAGGGAAACCGUUAAGUCCGCCGCCUGGGGAGUACGGCCGCAAGGCUGAAACUUAAAGGAAUUGGCGGG
rnacentral:rRNA from 1 species